AGUGAACGCUGGCGGUAGGCCUAACACAUGCAAGUCGAACGGCAGCACAGUAAGAGCUUGCCCUUACGGGUGGCGAGUGGCGGACGGGUGAGGAAUACAUCGGAAUCUACUUUUUCGUGGGGGAUAACGUAGGGAAACUUACGCUAAUACCGCAUGCGACCUACGGGUGAAAGCAGGGGAUCUUCGGACCUUGCGCGAUUGAAUGAGCCGAUGUCGGAUUAGCUAGUUGGCGGGGUAAAGGCCCACCAAGGCGACGAUCCGUAGCUGGUCUGAGAGGAUGAUCAGCCACACUGGAACUGAGACACGGUCCAGACUCCUACGGGAGGCAGCAGUGGGGAAUAUUGGACAAUGGGCGCAAGCCUGAUCCAGCCAUACCGCGUGGGUGAAGAAGGCCUUCGGGUUGUAAAGCCCUUUUGUUGGGAAAGAAAAGCAGCAGGUUAAUACCCCGCUGUUCUGACGGUACCCAAAGAAUAAGCACCGGCUAACUUCGUG
rnacentral:rRNA from 1 species